AAUAAAUACAAUGAACUCAAAACAGUCUUGCAAAAACUGAACGAGGCACAGGCUGUUGACCUGCCCUCCCUGUCUGAGAGAUACUGGCAAGUCUAGGGAGGUGUGGAAACCAAACAGCACCCAGCCUCAGAAACUAUUGCGCUGUCUAAAGCAGUGGUUCCCAAAGUGUUCUCCACCCACCACCUACAUCAGAACCACCUGAGAUGCUUGGGAAAACAGAGAUUCUGUGGCCCCUCUCCCAUGGAAUAGAGCCUCAAGGUGGAGUCUGAGAAUCUGCAUUUCUACAAACUCCCCAGGGAAUCUCAUCUUUAUACACACUAAAAUGUGUAUAAGGCACCUACGGUGAUGCCCACAUCCCCCUGGGUCUGUGCUAGGCUGUAAAACACUGAGAUGAAGGGAAGAGUUAGGAGCCCCAACCUGGGCUUAAGCACUAAGAGGGAGAAGAGCAUCCCCUAGGCCAGUGUCCAGGGGGCGAUAAUGAUUAAUAAGAUUUUCCAAGGAGACUGUGGCCUAAGAGAAAGAAGAAUCCCCCCAAGAGGCUCAAGCCCUCCUCCCCUCAUUUCCAACCUCAGAUCAUCAGUGCACCCAAACACCCUGCCUCCUCUUCUGGAUAAGCUGUGACCCCAAGCCUGGGCCCUCUAUCCUGGAGCCACUGAGGCCCCUCGCUGGAGGCCGCCCUGCCUCCCCUGGGGCACUCACCUUGUAGAGCUGACUCUCCACGCCCGGGCUCAGCAUAAUGAUGGACACCAGCACCCCCAGGAAGAGGAAGAACGUGAAGAUGAGGCGGCUCACGGUGGAGUUGCGGCUGGCGGGGCAGCAGCUGCACAGGAUGCAGGGGGCAGAGCCGCAGAGGCAGGACGCCUGCGGGAGGGCACUGUCACUCUUCCCUCUCCCCUUCACCGCCCAAGCGCGCACCUCUCACCACCUGCCCAGAGGUCGGCGCAUCUGUGCUGCGCUAGGCAGGAGCACACUGUUCCCCAGACACCAGCCCAUUGAACUUUCAGGUCCGAGAGGGAGGCUGGGUCAUAUAGGGCUACACAGCCAGUAACCACAGAACCCAGAUUCAAACCUGGGUCUAUCUCCAGUGAUACUGUGGCUUGAAUGCGAGAGCUAGCCGAGGUCACGCUGUUUCUUUCUUACAGGGAGGGAGAGUAGUUUAAAAAAAAAAAAAUCACAAGGCCAGCUGUCACCGAUUACCUUCGUGACCUUAUACAACUCACUCAACCUCUCUGUGCCUCAGUGUCCUCUUCUGUAACAUAGUGGUAUGUACUCCUCACAAAGCAGUUGUGAGAGUGAAAUAGAAAUUCCACAUUGUAGCCCCCUUGGGCUCCCUUUCCCCUUCCCCACUUAAUUUUUCCCCGCGGGACUUCUGCCAUCAGCGAGGCUUUAUGUUUUGUCGGCCUCCGCUUUCCAGCGGGGCAGGAAUUUUUGCGUUUUGUUCAUUGUGGUAUUCCUAGAAAUUGGAACAGUGCCUGUCACACAGCAGGAGCUUACAGGCUAUCUGUUGAAGGAAUAUGAAGUGUUUGGCAUAGUACCAGUCACAUGUUAAGACCUCAGAAAACAGCAAGUGCAGAAUAAACAUCAGUUGGAUGAACGGAA